rnacentral:rRNA from 1 species
CUUAAACAGAUUGAACAAGGGGAGAAAGUUGAUGUCUCAAAUCAAAAGCCGGGUAGAGUUGGCCGCAAGCGGAAAGAUUUGGAUUUGUCAAGGGUGGUGACAAUCCCAUUGAACAGAAGGAGAACAUUGUGAGGUCUGUCAAAGGCAUUGGGUGUAAGCUGCACGACCUCACACUCAAUGUUCGAGUGGGGUCAUUUGAGGCGUCACAGUAAUAAGGUGAGGCCCCACUUAAACCUAUCCAACAUUGUAAAGAGAUUGAAAUGGUGA